UACGUAGGGUGCGAGCGUUGUCCGGAAUUAUUGGGCGUAAAGGGCUCGUAGGCGGUUUUGUCGCGUCGGGGAGUGAAAAUCCACUGGCUUUAAACUGGUGGCUUGCUUUUCGAUACGGGGCAGACUGGAGGUAUGCAGGGGGAGAACGGAAUUCCUGGUGUAGCGGUGAAAAUGCGCAGAUAUCAGGAGGAACACCGUGGCGAAGGCGGCCAACUGGGGCCGA
rnacentral:rRNA from 1 species